AGAGUUUGAUCAUGGCUCAGAACGAACGCUGGCGGCGUGGAUAAGACAUGCAAGUCGAACGGGAACUUUACCGGUAGCAAUACCGGUGAAGUUCUAGUGGCGAACGGGUGCGUAACACGUGGGCAAUCUGCCUUAAAGUGGGGGAUAGCUCGGCGAAAGCCGAAUUAAUACCGCAUGUGAUCAGGGGAGACAUCUUCCCGAAAUCAAAAGUGGCGCAAGCUACUGCUUUUUGAGGAGCCCGCGGCCUAUCAGCUAGUUGGUGAGGUAACGGCUCACCAAGGCUUUGACGGGUAGCUGGUCUGAGAGGACGACCAGUCACACUGGAACUGAGACACGGUCCAGACACCUACGGGUGGCAGCAGUCGAGAAUUUUUCUCAAUGGGGGAAACCCUGAAGGAGCGACGCCGCGUGGAGGAUGAAGGUCUUCGGGUUGUAAACUCCUGUCAUUUGGGAACAAGUGUCGGUACCUAACUGCUACCGGCUUGAUAGUACCAGAAGAGGAAGGGACGGCUAACUCUGUGCCAGCAGCCGCGGUAAUACAGAGGUCUCAAGCGUUGUUCGGAUUCAUUGGGCGUAAAGGGUGUGUAGGUGGCGCCGUAAGUCGGGUGUGAAAUUUCGGAGCUUAACUCCGAAACUGCAUUCGAUACUGCGGUGCUUGAGGACUGGAGAGGAGACUGGAAUUCAUGGUGUAGCAGUGAAAUGCGUAGAGAUCAUGAGGAAGACCAGUGGCGAAGGCGGGUCUCUGGACAGUUCCUGACACUGAGACACGAAGGCCAGGGGAGCAAACGGGAUUAGAUACCCCCGUAGUCC
rnacentral:rRNA from 1 species